GGUCCUGCCUGCCCUGUGACCCCUGGUUUAACGGCCGCGGUAUUUUGACCGUGCAAAGGUAGCGCAAUCACUUGUCUCUUAAAUGAGGACCUGUAUGAAUGGCAAAACGAGGGCUUAACUGUCUCCUUUCCCCGGUCAGUGAAAUUGAUCUCCCCGUGCAGAAGCGGGGAUCCUAACAUAAGACGAGAAGACCCUAUGGAGCUUUAGACUAAAAACAGACCAUGUAAGCUAUCUUCAAAAACCAGAUAAUAACUAUUGAAUACCUGUUCCUCUGUCUUUGGUUGGGGCGACUACGGGGAAGAAAAAAACCCCCACGUGGACCAGGAGCAUAUUACUCCUACAAUCAUGAGCCACAGCUCUAAUGCACAAAAUCUUUGACCAUUUGAUCCGGCAAAGCCGAUCAACGGACCAAGUUACCCUAGGGAUAACAGCGCAAUCCCCUUUAAGAGUCCAUAUCGACAAGGGGGUUUACGACCUCGAUGUUGGAUCAAGACAUCCUAAUGGUGCAGCCGCUAUUAAGGGUUCGUUUGUUCAACGAUUAAAGUCUUACGUGAUCUGAGUUCAGACCGG
rnacentral:rRNA from 1 species